rnacentral:rRNA from 1 species
GACGAACGCUGGCGGCGUGCUUAACACAUGCAAGUCGAACGGAAAGGCCCUGCUUUUGUGGGGUGCUCGAGUGGCGAACGGGUGAGUAACACGUGAGUAACCUGCCCUUGACUUUGGGAUAACUUCAGGAAACUGGGGCUAAUACCGGAUAGGAGCUCCUGCUGCAUGGUGGGGGGUGGAAAGUUUCGGCGGUUGGGGAUGGGCUCGCGGCUUAUCAGCUUGUUGGUGGGGUAGUGGCUUACCAAGGCUUUGACGGGUAGCCGGCCUGAGAGGGUGACCGGCCACAUUGGGACUGAGAUACGGCCCAGACUCCUACGGGAGGCAGCAGUGGGGAAUAUUGCACAAUGGGCGGAAGCCUGAUGCAGCAACGCCGCGUGCGGGAUGACGGCCUUCGGGUUGUAAACCGCUUUCGCCUGUGACGAAGCGUGAGUGACGGUAAUGGGUAAAGAAGCACCGGCUAACUACGUG